ensembl:lncRNA
GUCACAGAGGAAGGUUGUGCUUCUCUGGUCUCAGCUCUGACGUCAAACCCCUCACACCUGAGAGAGCUGGAUCUGAGUAACAAUGACCUGAAGGAUUCAGGAGUGAAGCUGCUCUCUGCUGGACUGGGGAAUCCCCACUGUAAACUGGAGACUCUGAGGCCAGUGUUCCUGUAGUUGGUCAACAAGUGAUAACUGUUCACUAGAUCCACAUGUGUUUACCAGGCACACAUAGUCCACAUCACAUGUGUUUACCAGGCACACAUAGUCCACACCAUAUGUGUGUUUACAGUGAAGUUUACAGUUUUAAAUUUGGCGCUAUGCUCCAGCAUUUUGGAUUUGAGAUCAAAAGUUUCAUAUUAGGUGACAGUACAGAAUGUCACCUUUAAUUAGAGGUUAAUGGUGAGAGGUUAGUAUGUUUUGUUGUAGCCUCUGUAACUCUCUCACUCGUUAUUAUUAAUGAUUCAUUCAUGGUCUUUCUUAAUCAUGGCAGUCACAGGCUUGACGUAGUCAUUGUUGGCAAGGAAAAUGAUACCAAAUACUAUACUUUUGACUACUUUAAUACACUAUAAGUGAAUUGGUCAGAAUAUUAUGACUUCGUAAAAUGGGGAAUAGAUACAUAAAGACUCAGUUCUUAGCAGUAACACAGAUAUGUAUGAAAAUAGACUCAAAUAAAAGGUGACAUUAUAGACUGACCAGUAGACUGACCAGUAGACUGACCGGUAGACUGACCAGUAGACUGACCAGUAGACUGAACCAGUAGACUGAACCAGUAGACUGACCAGUAGACUGAACCAGUAGACUGAACCAGUAGACUGACCGGUAGACUGACCGGUAGACUGACCAGUAGACUGAACCAGUAGACUGAACCAGUAGACUGACCAGUAGACUGACCGGUAGACUGACCAGUAGACUGAACCAGUAGACUGACCAGUAGACUGAACCAGUAGACUGACCAGUAGACUGAACCAGUAGACUGACCGGUAGACUGACCGGUAGACUGACCAGUAGACUGACCAGUAGACUGACCAGUAGACUGAACCAGUAGACUGACCGGUAGACUGACCAGUAGACUGACCAGUAGACUGACCAGUAGACUGAACCAGUAGACUGAACCAUAGACUGAACCAGUAGACUGACCAGUAGACUGACCAG